AAUAAAGUAAGCUAAUAUUUAAGCUAGUGGGUUCAUACCCCAAAUAUGAUUUUAAUAUCCUUUAUUA
rnacentral:tRNA from 1 species